UACGAAGGGGGCUAGCGUUGCUCGGAAUCACUGGGCGUAAAGGGCGCGUAGGCGGCCAUUCAAGUCGGGGGUGAAAGCCUGUGGCUCAACCACAGAAUUGCCUUCGAUACUGUUUGGCUUGAGUUUGGUAGAGGUUGGUGGAACUGCGAGUGUAGAGGUGAAAUUCGUAGAUAUUCGCAAGAACACCAGUGGCGAAGGCGAGCCCCAU
rnacentral:rRNA from 1 species